rnacentral:rRNA from 16 species
CCUAGUGACAAUAGCGAGAGAGGAAACACCCGUCUCCAUCCCGAACACGAAGGUUAAGCUCUCCCAGCGCCGAUGGUAGUUGGGGCCAGCGCCCCUGCAAGAGUAGGUUGUCGCUAGGC